ACAUUCAGUCAACCACUGCACACUGCACACAAUAACUGCACACUGACAUCCACUUCUGAGCCACGCUGUGGGACUGCUCACUCAGAGGCUCUCUGAGUACAGCCUGAGUUACUUUCUCCCAUAGAGCAACUGAACUACGAAGUUCUUAGUGCUGCCCCUGGCUUCGUACCUUUGUAGCACCUUUCAGCCACCUCUCGUGUGCCUUUCAUCCCAUCCCUGCUGAUGUUCCACCCCUGGCGGUGCCCAUGUCCAGGCUGAGUGGAGCUCCUGGCAGCCUGACCUGGUGGGAGGUGUCCCAGCCCCUGGCAGAGGGUUGGAACUAAAUUAUCUGUAAGGUUCCUUCCAACCCAAACCAUUCCAUGCUUCUACGGUUUGGUGCUGCCUUGUGAGCUGAACACCUUAGGAAAUGGGCAGCCACCUUUACCUGCCCGGAUGCGCAGAGAGGACAUUGCUCACCCCAUGGCAUCGUUCUCAUGUUAAACCAGAGACAGCCACCAAAGGUGCAAAUAUAAUGGAUUCUGUCAUCCUAAUGUCAUAGAUUUCCCCCGUUUCAUCAGUGUUAGCACAGAGCCUUGGGGAAUCUGCAGCGUGAGCUCCGAGAUCGGCCUCCCCACCUCAGCUAUCAGCCAACAUCGUCUGCUCAGAGGAAAUGCAAAAGCCUUCCACUACUGCUUUGUUUUCAAUGGAGGUGUUCCAGAACUGCGGAGAUGUGGCACAUGGGGACACGGGGGGGGCAUGGUGAUCCUAGAGGUCUCUCCAACCUUCAUGAUUCUAUGGUUCAUGACUUGUUCACCAUGAUUUCUGUGAUUUGGGAAAGCAAAGGCUUUCCUGGAGAUAAGACUUCAAUUUAUACUUUAUAACAGCUGCUGUUUGACUCCGUAGUGAUGAAUAUCAUCCUCCAUAGAAGUGAGAAGUUCAGAAGCUUCAGUGGAAACACAGAAAAGCCAAUUCUGCUCGUACUGCUUUGGAGAACAGCUGUGUUCCUGUUGUCUCCUAAUGCCAAAGGCCCUUAGUGGUGCUAUAAAUGAGGCCCAUCUCUCCCCUCUCCUUUUCACCCAUUCACUGCCCUGCCGACAUCCUGACCCUUCUGUGCUGUACCACUCCCUUUAGCUCUCACUGAGUGCUGCUGUUUCCCACCUCCACGUGCAGGUGGUGCAGGUGAGGAGACAUGGGAUGCUGUGGUGUUAGGGCCUCUCUGCCAAGUUACCUGCUAUCCUUCUCUUGAGUCUAUCACAGGAUUGCUUCUGGAGUUGUUGGAGCUUCACAGCCUGAAAGCUCUUCGGACAUCUACCCCUGAUCUGGCACACCCCAACUGUCUGGAAGACUGACAUCUUACUAGAGAGAACUGGUUGCUCAAAAAAGCUGAUGUCUUUCAUUUUUCUCUGCCCUGGUUCUUCAUCCUGUAAAUAAAAGAUGACUUUAACG
rnacentral:lncRNA from 7 species